rnacentral:rRNA from 1 species
UAGGCGUAGGGUGCAAGCGUUGUCCGGGAAUUAUUGGGCGUAAAGAGCUCGUAGGCGGUUUGUCGCGUCUGACUGUGAAAACCCGAAGGCUUCAAACCUCGGGCCUGCAGUGGGUACGGGCAGACUAGAGUGCGGUAGGGGAGAUUGGAAUUCCUGGUGUAGCGGUGAAAUGCGCAGAUAUCAGGAGGAACACCGGUGGCGAAGGCGGGUCUCUGGGAAACAACUGACGCUGAGGAACGAAAGCGUGGGUAGCAAACAGG